UGCACCUUAGGUAUCAGGAGACCUACAGUG
rnacentral:piRNA from 1 species